UGGGGAAUUUUGGACAAUGGGCGAAAGCCUGAUCCCAGCAAUGCCGCGUGUGUGAAGAAGGCCUUCGGGUUGUAAAGCACUUUUGUCCGGAAAGAAAUCCUUGGCUCUAAUACAGUCGGGGGAUGACGGUACCGGAAGAAUAAGCACCGGCUAACUACGUGCCAGCAGCCGCGGUAAUACGUAGGGUGCAAGCGUUAAUCGGAAUUACUGGGCGUAAAGCGUGCGCAGGCGGUUUGCUAAGACCGAUGUGAAAUCCCCGGGCUCAACCUGGGAACUGCAUUGGUGACUGGCAGGCUAGAGUAUGGCAGAGGGGGGUAGAAUUCCACGUGUAGCAGUGAAAUGCGUAGAGAUGUGGAGGAAUACCGAUGGCGAAGGCAGCCCCCUGGGCCAAUACUGACGCUCAUGCACGAAAGCGUGGGGAGCAAACAGGAUUAGAUACCCUGGUAGUCCACGCCCUAAACGAUGUCAACUAGUUGUUGGGGACUUUCAUUUCCUUAGUAACGUAGCUAA
rnacentral:rRNA from 1 species